AUUGAACGCUGGCGGCAGGCCUAACACAUGCAAGUCGAGCGAGCGGCGGACGGGUGAGUAAUGUCUGGGAAACUGCCUGAUGGAGGGGGAUAACUACUGGAAACGGUAGCUAAUACCGCAUACCAUCAGAUGUGCCCAGAUGGGAUUAGCUAGUAGGUGGGGUAACGGCUCACCUAGGCGACGAUCCCUAGCUGGUCUGAGAGGAUGACCAGCCCCCCUGGAACUGAGACACGGUCCAGACUCCUCCCAAAAUCACCAUUCUAAAAUAUUCCACAAUGCUCGCAAGCCUGAUACAGCCAUGCCGCGUGUGUGAAGAAUUCCUUCGGGUUUUAACGCACUUUCAGCGGGGAGGCGUUACCCGCAGAAGAAGCACCGGCUAACUCCGUGCCAGCCGCCGCGGUAAUUC
rnacentral:rRNA from 1 species